rnacentral:tRNA from 1 species
UUAAUUGAAGCCAAAAAGAGGCACAUCAUUGUUAAUGAUAUCACUGAAAUCUCAACUUCCAAUUAAA